GACAGAGGUGCCAAGCGUUAGGCGGAAUCACUGGGCUUAAAGCGUGUGUAGGCGGAUCGUUAAGUACCUUGUGAAAUCCCACGGCUCAACCGUGGAACUGCUCGGUAUACUGGCGGUCUUGAGCCACCUAGGGGCAACUGGAACAAGCGGUGGAGCGGUGAAAUGCGUAGAGAUUGGAAAGAACACCGAUGGCGAAGGCACUUUACUGGGCUAUUACUAACACUCAGAGACGAAAGCUAGGGUAGCAAAUGGG
rnacentral:rRNA from 1 species